UACAGAGGGGGCAAGCGUUGUUCGGAAUUACUGGGCAUAAAGGGCGCGUAGGCGGCCGCCUAAGUCAGACGUGAAAUCCCUCGGCUCAACCGGGGAACUGCGUCUGAUACUGGGUGGCUUGAAUUCGGGAGAGGGAUGCGGAAUUCCAGGUGUAGCGGUGAAAUGCGUAGAUAUCUGGAGGAACACCGGUGGCGAAGGCGGCUUCCUGGACUGUCCCUGACGCUGAGGCGCGAAAGCGUGGGUAGCAAACAGG
rnacentral:rRNA from 1 species